rnacentral:rRNA from 1 species
AACGAACGCUGGCGGCAGGCCUAACACAUGCAAGUCGAACGCUCCGCAAGGGGAGUGGCGCACGGGUGAGUAACACGUGGGAACCUACCUUCUGGUACGGAACAACCAAGGGAAACUUUGGCUAAGACCGUAUACGACCUCCGGGUGAAAGAUUGAUCGCCGGAAGAGGGGCCCGCGUCCGAUUAGGUAGUUGGUGAGGUAACGGCUCACCAAGCCUUCGAUCGGUAGCUGGUCUGAGAGGAUGACCAGCCACACUGGGACUGAGACACGGCCCAGACUCCUACGGAGGCAGCAGUGGGGAAUAUUGGACAAUGGGCGCAAGCCUGAUCCAGCCAUGCCGCGUGAGUGAUGAAGGCCUUCGGUUGUAAGACUCUUCUACCCACGACCGAUGAUGACGGUAGUGGGAGAAGAAG